GGUUAAGCGACUAAGCGUACACGGUGGAUGCCCUGGCAGUCAGAGGCGAUGAAGGACGUGCUAAUCUGCGAAAAGCGUCGGUAAGGUGAUAUGAACCGUUAUAACCGGCGAUGUCCGAAUGGGGAAACCCAGUGCAAUUCGUUGCACUAUCGUUAACUGAAUACAUAGGUUAACGAGGCGAACCGGGGAACUGAAACAUCUAAGUACCCCGAGGAAAAGAAAUCAACCGAGAUUCCCCAGUAGCGGCGAGCGAACGGGGAGCAGCCCAGAGUCUGAAUCAGCUUGUGUGUUAGUGGAACGGUCUGGAAAGUCCGACGGUACAGGGUGAUAGUCCCGUACACCAAAAUGCACAGGUUGUGAACUCGAAGAGUAGGGCGGGACACGUGGUAUCCUGUCUGAAUAUGGGGACCAUCCUCCAAGGCUAAAUACUCCUGACUGACCGAUAGUGAACCAGUACCGUGAGGGAAAGGCGAAAAGAACCCCGGCGAGGGAGUGAAAAAGAACCUGAAACCGUGUACGUACAAGCAGUGGGAGCACCUUCGGGUGUGACUGCGUACCUUUGUAUAAUGGGUCAGCGACUUAUAUUCUGUAGCAAGGUUAACCGUAUAGGGAGCCGCAGGAAACCGAGUCUUAACUGGGCGUUAAGUUGCAGGGUAUAGACCCGAAACCCGGUGAUCUAGCCAUGGGCAGGUUGAAGGUUGGGUAACACUAACUGGAGGACCGAACCGACUAAUGUUGAAAAAUUAGCGGAUGACUUGUGGCUGGGGUGAAAGGCCAAUCAAACCGGGAGAUAGCUGGUUCUCCCGAAAGCUAUUUAGGUAGCGCCUCGUGAAUUCAUCUUCGGGGUAGAGCACUGUUUCGGCUAGGGGUCAUCCCGACUUACCAACCCGAUGCAAACUACGAAUACCGAAGAAUGUUAUCACGGGAGACACACGGCGGGUGCUAACGUCCGUCGUGAAGAGGGAAACAACCCAGACCGCCAGCUAAGGUCCCAAAGUCAUGGUUAAGUGGGAAACGAUGUGGGAAGGCACAGACAGCCAGGAUGUUGGCUUAGAAGCAGCCAUCAUUUAAAGAAAGCGUAAUAGCUCACUGGUCGAGUCGGCCUGCGCGGAAGAUGUAACGGGGCUAAACCAUGCACCGAAGCUGCGGCAGCGACACUAUGUGUUGUUGGGUAGGGAGCGUUCUGUAAGCCUGCGAAGGUGUGCUGUGAGGCAUGCUGGAGGUAUCAGAAGUGCGAAUGCUGACAUAAGUAACGAUAAAGCGGGUGAAAAGCCCGCUCGCCGGAAGACCAAGGGUUCCUGUCCAACGUUAAUCGGGGCAGGGUGAGUCGACCCUAAGGCGAGGCCGAAAGGCGUAGUCGAUGGGAAACAGGUUAAUAUUCCUGUACUUGGUGUUACUGCGAAGGGGACGGAGAAGGCUAUGUUAGCCGGGCGACGGUUGUCCCGGUUUAAGCAUGUAGGCUGAUUAUCCAGGCAAAUCCGGAUAAUCAAGGCUGAGGUGUGAUGACGAGGCACUACGGUGCUGAAGUAACAAAUGCCCUGCUUCCAGGAAAAGCCUCUAAGCAUCAGGUAACAUCAAAUCGUACCCCAAACCGACACAGGUGGUCAGGUAGAGAAUACCAAGGCGCUUGAGAGAACUCGGGUGAAGGAACUAGGCAAAAUGGUGCCGUAACUUCGGGAGAAGGCACGCUGGUGUGUAGGUGAAGCCCCUGCGGGUGGAGCUGAGACCAGUCGAAGAUACCAGCUGGCUGCAACUGUUUAUUAAAAACACAGCACUGUGCAAACACGAAAGUGGACGUAUACGGUGUGACGCCUGCCCGGUGCCGGAAGGUUAAUUGAUGGGGUUAUCCGUAAGGAGAAGCUCUUGAUCGAAGCCCCGGUAAACGGCGGCCGUAACUAUAACGGUCCUAAGGUAGCGAAAUUCCUUGUCGGGUAAGUUCCGACCUGCACGAAUGGCGUAAUGAUGGCCAGGCUGUCUCCACCCGAGACUCAGUGAAAUUGAACUCGCUGUGAAGAUGCAGUGUACCCGCGGCAAGACGGAAAGACCCCGUGAACCUUUACUAUAGCUUGACACUGAACAUUGAGCCUUGAUGUGUAGGAUAGGUGGGAGGCUUUGAAGCGUGGACGCCAGUCUGCGUGGAGCCAACCUUGAAAUACCACCCUUUAAUGUUUGAUGUUCUAACGUUGGCCCCUUACCGGGGUUGCGGACAGUGUCUGGUGGGUAGUUUGACUGGGGCGGUCUCCUCCCAAAGCGUAACGGAGGAGCACGAAGGUUAGCUAAUCCUGGUCGGACAUCAGGAGGUUAGUGCAAUGGCAUAAGCUAGCUUGACUGCGAGCGUGACGGCGCGAGCAGGUGCGAAAGCAGGUCAUAGUGAUCCGGUGGUUCUGAAUGGAAGGGCCAUCGCUCAACGGAUAAAAGGUACUCCGGGGAUAACAGGCUGAUACCGCCCAAGAGUUCAUAUCGACGGCGGUGUUUGGCACCUCGAUGUCGGCUCAUCACAUCCUGGGGCUGAAGUAGGUCCCAAGGGUAUGGCUGUUCGCCAUUUAAAGUGGUACGCGAGCUGGGUUUAGAACGUCGUGAGACAGUUCGGUCCCUAUCUGCCGUGGGCGCUGGAGAAUUGAGGGGCUGCUCCUAGUACGAGAGGACCGGAGUGGACGCAUCACUGGUGUUCGGGUUGUCAUGCCAAUGGCACUGCCCGGUAGCUAAAUGCGGAAGAGAUAAGUGCUGAAAGCAUCUAAGCACGAAACUUGCCCCGAGAUGAGUUCUCCUGAGACUUUAAGUCUCCUGAAGGAACGUUGAAGACGACGACGUUGAUAGGCCGGGUGUGUAAGCGCAGCGAUGCGUUGAGCUAACCGGUACUAAUGAACCGUGAGGCUUAACCUU
rnacentral:rRNA from 1 species